UACGUAGGGUGCAAGCGUUAAUCGGAAUUACUGGGCGUAAAGCGUGCGCAGGCGGUUGGGCAAGACAGAUGUGAAAUCCCCGGGCUCAACCUGGGAAUUGCAUUUGUGACUGCACGGCUAGAGUGUGUCAGAGGGGGGUAGAAUUCCACGUGUAGCAGUGAAAUGCGUAGAGAUGUGGAGGAACACCGAUGGCGAAGGCAGCCCCCUGGGUCAAGAUUGACGCUCAUGCACGAAAGCGUGGGGAGCAAACAGG
rnacentral:rRNA from 1 species